GUUGCUUGGGGUUUGACCUGUGGAAAUCUUUGUUAACAGGUACGGGGUUGGACUGGUCUGGUUGCGUGGAAGAAAAGCAGAUUGUCACCAGUAGGCAGCAGUUCUGUGAUGCACUGCGGUCAAUCCCUGACGUGCAGCAGAUGAGGAGGUGUAUGCUGACCCGGAAGGAUGAUUCCAACAGCAGUCAAGAAGAGAAGAGGAGAAUGUGCAAGGAGCAGUAGAGCUUACCUGAGCCCAGCCCAGCCCACUGCAUCUCAGCCCAGCCCAGCAGAGGAUCCAGUGGUCUAACACCUCUAACUAACCACUUUAACAAACUUCCAACAAAUAACUCUUAGAAACUUCCAACAAAUAACCCUAACAAACUUCCAACAAGUAACUUUAACAAACUUCCAUUAAAUAACUGUAACAAACUUCCAACAAAUAACUCUAACAAACUUCCAACAAAUAACUAACAAACUUCCAACAAAUCAUCCUAACAAACUUCCAACAAAUCAUCGUAACCAACCAGUAACAAAUCAUCCUAACAAACUAAAACUACUAACAGUCUGCUAAAUGUUGUGUGACGCGUCUAGUGUGUUGGUGUUAGUGUCUGUGUGCUUGUCACCUCUCGCUUUCAGCCAUCACCGCUGGCUAGCAGUAAUGCGAAAAGGGAAGGAAUUUUUAUGUCUUCCCCUGCCAGUACAUAGCCUCUCCACAACAAGUCCUAUGCGAUGCCUCCACGUGGAAGCAGACGGAUACUGGGCAGAUUUUGGUCCCAGGCUAAGUUCGCAAGGGCGCACAGGAAGAUGAAUCUUGAUAGCCUCUACUGGUAUCUGUCUAGGAGAGAAAACUGAUCACAACCCCAAUUAAGUAGGGGACCCAAUUGAUAUAAGUGUUGGCUAUUUAUCCCUAUUGAAAUAGAAGUGAACCUUUGUCCAUUGUCUGUCGUCAUCUUCUUUGUUUUAAACUUUCACAUUUAUAUCUUUAGAACUACUGGGCCAAAGUCAGACAAACUUGACACAGAGUAUCUUUGCGUAAAUGGGAUUCAAGUUUAUAAAUGAAGGCCCAUGCCCUCUUCAAAGGGGGGGGGGGAUUAUUACAUAAGUGUAAAUUAAUGACAUCAUUUAAAAAAGAUCUAAAGAUUUAAAAAUCUUUUCAAGAACCACUGAGACGGUAAAUGUUACACUGAUGUGAAUUCAUCCUUACUUAGUAUAG